rnacentral:rRNA from 1 species
UAGGGAAUCUUCGGCAAUGGGGGCAACCCUGACCGAGCAACGCCGCGUGAGUGAAGAAGGUUUUCGGAUCGUAAAGCNCUGUUGUAAGUCAAGAACGGGUGUGAGAGUGGAAAGUUCACACUGUGACGGUAGCUUACCAGAAAGGGACGGCUAACUACGUGCCAGCAGCCGCGGUAAUACGUAGGUCCCGAGCGUUGUCCGGAUUUAUUGGGCGUAAAGCGAGCGCAGGCGGUUUGAUAAGUCUGAAGUUAAAGGCUGUGGCUCAACCAUAGUCGCUUUGGAAACUGUCAAACUUGAGUGCAGAAGGGGAGAGUGGAAUUCCAUGUGUAGCGGUGAAAUGCGUAGAUAUAUGGAGGAACACCGGUGGCGAAAGCGGCUCUCUGGUCUGUAACUGACGCUGAGGCUCGAAAGCGUGGGGAGCGAACAGGAUUAGGAUACCCUGGUAGUCCACGCCGUAAACGAUGAGUGCUAGGUGUUGGAUCCU